UACGAAGGGGGCUAGCGUUGCUCGGAAUGACUGGGCGUAAAGGGCGCGUAGGCGGAUUGCUUUGUCGGGCGUGAAAUUCCAGGGCUUAACCUUGGGGCUGCGUUCGAGACGGGUGAUCUUGAGUUCGGAAGAGGGUCGUGGGAUUCCCAGUGUAGAGGUGAAAUUCGUAGAUAUUCGCAAGAACACCAGUGGCGAAGGCGGCUCACUGGCCCGAUACUGACGCUGAGGCACGAAAGCGUGGGGAGCAAACAGG
rnacentral:rRNA from 1 species